rnacentral:rRNA from 1 species
UACGUAGGGCGCAAGCGUUAUCCGGAAUUAUUGGGCGUAAAGAGCUCGUAGGCGGUUUGUCGCGUCUGCCGUGAAAGUCCGGGGCUCAACUCCGGAUCUGCGGUGGGUACGGGCAGACUAGAGUGAUGUAGGGGAGACUGGAAUUCCUGGUGUAGCGGUGAAAUGCGCAGAUAUCAGGAGGAACACCGAUGGCGAAGGCAGGUC